AACGAACGCUGGCGGCGUGCCUAACACAUGCAAGUCGAACGAGAAAGGGGCUUCGGCUCCGAGUAAAGUGGCGCACGGGUGAGUAACACGUGGGUAACCUGCCUCUAAGAUUGGGAUAACUCGUCGAAAGAUGAGCUAAUACCGAAUAAGACCACAGUUCCCGCGGGAACAGGGGUCAAAGGUAGCCUCUGCUUGCAAGCUAUCACUUAGAGAUGGGCCUGCGCACCAUUAGCUAGUUGGUAGGGUAACGGCCUACCAAGGCAAAGAUGGUUAGCUGGUCUGAGAGGAUGAUCAGCCACACUGGAACUGAGACACGGUCCAGACUCCUACGGGAGGCAGCAGUGGGGAAUAUUGCGCAAUGGGCGAAAGCUUGACGCAGCAACGCCGCGUGGGUGAUGAAGGCCUUCGGGUCGUAAAGCUCUGUCGGGAGGAACGAAUGCUCCUGAGGUUAACAGCCUCGGGAGGUGACGGUACCUUCAAAGGAAGCACCGGCUAACUCUGUG
rnacentral:rRNA from 1 species